rnacentral:rRNA from 1 species
AGCGCAGGUGGUUAUUUAAGUCUGAAGUGAAAGCCCUCAGCUCAACUGAGGAAUGGCUUUGGAAACUGGAUGACUUGAGUGCAGUAGAGGAAAGUGGAACUCCAUGUGUAGCGGUGAAAUGCGUAGAUAUAUGGAAGAACACCAGUGGCGAAGGCGGCUUUCUGGACUGUAACUGACGUUGAGGCUCGAAAGUGUGGUAGCAAACA